CAGGAUCUCUGAUUGAGUCGAUGACAGAAUUUGAUGAGACACUGAAGGACAAGUUACUAGCUGGGAAUGCCCUGGAGUUUCUGGGCCUCAAAAAAGAAACAUUUGAGUCACAAGGAGAGUGACUCCAAGCUUUGACGGAGUUCAAAUCUCGUGGUCAUAGUUGAUUCAGACUCUGUUGUUGUUGAUGGUUGCUUUUUUAGCAGUGAUUUUAAUUAUUCCAUUUCAGAAAUUUGAAAUUCAAUAAGUGAGAAAAGAAACAACUAGACAAGAAUAUGUUUGGGCGAAAUGGAAUACGUUACAGUUUCUUAAGCAGACUUUGUAAUGCAGCCAACACAAUCAAAACGUAUGAUGUGCUGGGUUGUUUUAUUGCAAAAAUUCCAACAUUAAUCAUACCGAUUUUUGUGAACUGUGCAUGAGCUACAAAAAUUUCAAUGAUCAAUAAAACACUUAACAAAA